GACAGGGGUGGCAAACGUUGUUCGGAAUUACUGGGCGUAAAGCGAGUGUAGGCGGUUUGAUAAGUCGGAUGUGAAAGCCCCGGGCUCAACCCGGGAAGUGCACUCGAUACUGUCAAGCUAGAGUAUCGGAGAGGUUGGUGGAAUUCUCGGUGUAGAGGUGAAAUUCGUAGAUAUCGAGAGGAACACCGGUGGCGAAGGCGGCCAACUGGACGAAUACUGACGCUGAGACUCGAAAGCGUGGGGAGCAAACAGG
rnacentral:rRNA from 1 species